CUUAGGAAGAGCAGCACUGGAGUGGAAUACUGAGAGCAAUCUUCAUUGCAAAAGAAAUGUGGAAGAGUGGUCUUGGAUAGAGUCAACUUUAGGAAAAGACAGGAAAAAGGGAGAAGAGGAUGAAGAUGUUUUCUCUUGUGGUGCUCUGGAGUGGUUGUUUGCUUACACGGUUUAGGUUUGUUUUCUUCAUGUCCAGACUUUUGGGGUGAGGAGAACAUCUGAGCAACACAUUUUCCACAAAUGGGCUUCAUUCUUCAGCAUUGGUGGCUUGUGGGGAAAAGGGAGAUUUCCCCAAUGGUAAAUAUUUUUCCCCUCUUUUCAUCUAAUGAGGCUGUAAUUCAUUAAAGAGUCACCAAGCG